GGGGGGACGCAGUAGGAUAGGCGAAGCGUGCGAUUGGAUUGCACGUCUAAGCAGUAAGGCUGAGUAUUAGGCAAAUCCGGUACUCAUUAAGGCUGAGCUGUGAUGGGGAGAAGACAUUGUGUCUUCGAGUCGUUGAUUUCACACUGCCGAGAAAAGCCUCUAGAUAGAAAAUAGGUGCCCGUACCGCAAACCGACACAGGUAGUCAAGAUGAGAAUUCUAAGGUGAGCGAGCGAACUCUCGUUAAGGAACUCGGCAAAAUGACCCCGUAACUUCGGGAGAAGGGGUGCUCUUUAGGGUUAACGCCCAGAAGAGCCGCAGUGAAUAGGCCCAAGCGACUGUUUAUCAAAAACACAGGUCUCUGCUAAACCGUAAGGUGAUGUAUAGGGGCUGACGCCUGCCCGGUGCUGGAAGGUUAAGAGGAGUGGUUAGCUUCUGCGAAGCUACGAAUCGAAGCCCCAGUAAACGGCGGCCGUAACUAUAACGGUCCUAAGGUAGCGAAAUUCCUUGUCGGGUAAGUUCCGACCCGCACGAAAGGCGUAACGAUUUGGGCACUGUCUCAACGAGAGACUCGGUGAAAUCAUAGUACCUGUGAAGAUGCAGGUUACCCGCGACAGGACGGAAAGACCCCGUGGAGCUUUACUGUAGCCUGAUAUUGAAAUUCGGCACAGCUUGUACAGGAUAGGUAGGAGCCUUUGAAACGUGAGCGCUAGCUUACGUGGAGGCGCUGGUGGGAUACUACCCUAGCUGUGUUGGCUUUCUAACCCGCACCACUUAUCGUGGUGGGAGACAGUGUCAGGCGGGCAGUUUGACUGGGGCGGUCGCCUCCUAAAAGGUAACGGAGGCGCUCAAAGGUUCCCUCAGAAUGGUUGGAAAUCAUUCAUAGAGUGUAAAGGCAUAAGGGAGCUUGACUGCGAGACCUACAAGUCGAGCAGGGUCGAAAGACGGACUUAGUGAUCCGGUGGUUCCGCAUGGAAGGGCCAUCGCUCAACGGAUAAAAGCUACCCCGGGGAUAACAGGCUUAUCUCCCCCAAGAGUUCACAUCGACGGGGAGGUUUGGCACCUCGAUGUCGGCUCAUCGCAUCCUGGGGCUGUAGUCGGUCCCAAGGGUUGGGCUGUUCGCCCAUUAAAGCGGUACGCGAGCUGGGUUCAGAACGUCGUGAGACAGUUCGGUCCCUAUCCGUCGUGGGCGUAGGAAAUUUGAGAGGAGCUGUCCUUAGUACGAGAGGACCGGGAUGGACAUACCUCUGGUGUACCAGUUGUCGUGCCAACGGCAUAGCUGGGUAGCUAUGUGUGGACGGGAUAAGUGCUGAAAGCAUCUAAGCAUGAAGCCCCCCUCAAGAUGAGAUUUCCCAACUUCGGUUAUAAGAUCCCUCAAAGAUGAUGAGGUUAAUAGGUUCGAGGUGGAAGCAUGGUGACAUGUGGAGCUGACGAAUACUAAUCGAUCGAAGACUUAAUCAAAA
rnacentral:rRNA from 3 species